CCUACGGGAGGCAGCAGUGGGGAAUAUUGCACAAUGGGGGAAACCCUGAUGCAGCGACGCCGCGUGAGUGAAGAAGUAAUUCGUUAUGUAAAGCUCUAUCAGCAGGGAAGAAAAUGACGGUACCUGAGCAAGAAGCCCCGGCUAACUACGUGCCUGCAGCCGCGGUAAUACGUAGGGGGCAAGCGUUAUCCGGAUUUACUGGGUGUAAAGGGAGCGUAGACGGGUGUGCAAGUCUGGAGUGAAAGGCGGGGGCUCAACCCCCGGACUGCUCUGGAAACUGUACGUCUGGAGUGCAGGAGAGGUAAGUGGAAUUCCUGGUGUAGCGGUGAAAUGCGUAGAUAUUAGGAGGAACACCAGUGGCGAAGGCGGCUUACUGGACUGUAACUGACGUUGAGGCUCGAAAGCGUGGGGAGCAAACAGGAUUAGAUACCCUUGUAGUC
rnacentral:rRNA from 1 species